rnacentral:rRNA from 1 species
ACGGGUGAGUAACGCGUAUCCAACCUUCCGUACACUCAGGGAUAGCCUUUCGAAAGAAAGAUUAAUACCCGAUGGUAUGAUGAGAUUGCAUGAUAGCAUCAUUAAAGAUUUAUCGGUGUACGAUGGGGAUGCGUUCCAUUAGGUAGUAGGCGGGGUAACGGCCCACCUAGCCGACGAUGGAUAGGGGUUCUGAGAGGAAGGUCCCCCACAUUGGAACUGAGACACGGUCCAAACUCCUACGGGAGGCAGCAGUGAGGAAUAUUGGUCAAUGGACGAGAGUCUGAACCAGCCAAGUAGCGUGAAGGAUGAAGGUCCUACGGAUUGUAAACUUCUUUUAUAAGGGAAUAAAACCUCCCACGUGUGGGAGCUUGUAUGUACCUUAUGAAUAAGCAUCGGCUAACUCCGUGCCAGCAGCCGCGGUAAUACGGAGGAUGCGAGCGUUAUCCGGAUUUAUUGGGUUUAAAGGGAGUGCAGACGGGUCGUUAAGUCAGCUGUGAAAGUUUGGGGCUCAACCUUAAAAUUGCAGUUGAUACUGGCGUCCUUGAGUGCGGUUGAGGUGUGCGGAAUUCGUGGUGUAGCGGUGAAAUGCUUAGAUAUCACGAAGAACUCCGAUUGCGAAGGCAGCACACUAAGCCGUAACUGACGUUCAUGCUCGAA